rnacentral:rRNA from 1 species
GCCAGCCCGCUCAGAAACUUAAAGGAAGUUGACGGGGCCCGCACAAGCGGAGGAGCAUGUGGUUUAAUUCGAUGAUACGCGAGGAACCUUACCUGGGCUCGAACGUAAGAUGACUGUAGGUGAAAGCUUACAUCUCUUCGGAGCAUUUUACGAGGUGCUGCAUGGUUGUCGUCAGCUCGUGCCGUGAGGUGUCGGGUUAAGUCCCAUAACGAGCGCAACCCCUACCUUUAGUUGCCAUCAGGUAAUGCUGGGGACUCUAAAGGAACUGCCUACGCAAGUAGUGAGGAAGGCGGGGAUGACGUCAAAUCAGCACGGCCCUUACGUCCAGGGCUACACACGUGCUACAAUGGCCGAUACAGAGGGCAGCUACCUGGUGACAGGAUGCAAAUCUCCAAAGUCGGUCUCAGUUCGGAUCGGAGUCUGCAACCCGACUCCGUGAAGUUGGAUUCGCUAGUAAUCGCGCAUCAGCCAUGGCGCGGUGAAUACGUUCCCGGGCCUU